rnacentral:rRNA from 1 species
GGGACGAACGCUGGCGGCGUGCUUAACACAUGCAAGUCGAGCGGAAAGGCCUUUCGGGGUACUCGAGCGGCGAACGGGUGAGUAACACGUGAGUAAUCUGCCCAUCGCUUCAGGAUAGCCAUCGGAAACGGUGAUUAAUACUGGAUAUGACAUUCCUUCGCAUGUUGGGGUGUGGAAAGUUUUUUCGGCGGUGGAUGUGCUCGCGGCCUAUCAGCUUGUUGGUGGGGUAAUGGCCUACCAAGGCUUUGACGGGUAGCCGGCCUGAGAGGGUGACCGGCCACGCUGGGGACUGAGACACGGCCCAGACUCCUACGGGAGGCAGCAGUGGGGAAUAUUGGACAA